GCGGAUGUAGUUUAAUGGCAGAAUGCAAGACUGUGGCUCUUGAGACGUGGGUUCGAUUCCCACCUUCCGCU
rnacentral:tRNA from 1 species